CACGUAGGGGGCAAGCGUUGUCCGGAAUUAUUGGGCGUAAAGAGCUCGUAGGCGGUCUGUCGCGUCGGUCGUGAAAACUUGGGGCUUAACCCUGAGCUUGCGGUCGAUACGGGCAUGACUGGAGUUCGGCAGGGGAGACUGGAAUUCCUGGUGUAGCGGUGAAAUGCGCAGAUAUCAGGAGGAACACCGGUGGCGAAGGCGGGUCUCUGGGCCGAUACUGACGCUGAGGAGCGAAAGCGUGGGGAGCGAACAGG
rnacentral:rRNA from 1 species